GGGCUGGUGGUCUAGUGGUAUGAUUCUCGCUUUGGGUGCGAGAGGUCCCGGGUUCGAUCCCCGGCUAGCCCC